AUUCAAAUAGUUUAAUUAAAAUAUUAAUUUGUGGAAUUAAUGAUAUGGAAAUUUCAUUUUGAAUA
rnacentral:tRNA from 1 species